rnacentral:lncRNA from 1 species
CACACACACACACACACAUCUCCUUUUAUUAUGCUGACUCAUCCACAAUUACAUGUUUACAACAUAACAAAGAAAAAAUAAUCAUAUAAAUCAAAACACAACAGUGCCCAAAUAUACACAGCAACAUUUAAAAAUUCCAAAAUCGCUCGGGAACAGUGCUGGGGAAUUCUAGGCAUCUUCUGUGAUCGUUGUACACUGGUGGCGCGUCCUCCCACGCGCCA